UUUUACUUGAAACAUGAGUCUCUUGUAAACCCAUUCUCUCAAAAACUCUAAUAUUUUGCUUUGUGAGCUUCCGAUUGCUACCGAAGCCGCCGAUUAAGGGAGCAACUCGAGAUAGAUGCAAGAUUCUUUCUCCUGCCCUUCACUUAGAAAGAAAAGUAUAAGCUUGAGGAUUAUAAUCUAACCCUAAUUUGAAGAAAAGGUGAUAAAUUUCUAAAGAACUGAUUCUUCGGAUGAAGUCAAUGAAACGAAGCCCUAAUUUUCAAGGUCAAUUAGUUGCAAUGGCAAAGAAUGGUACAAAUACAGUGGUUGAGUUACAAACAGCAGCAAAUAAAUGAGGUCAAGAUGGACCUAUUUUGGUGCUUCAAUUUUGAUCUGGUCUGAAUUUGUUUUGCAUUUUUAUGUAAUUUUGGAGUCCAUUGCAUAUGUGGACCUGUUUUGGUGCUUCAAUAUUUUUGUAAGAAAAAAUAUAAAUGAUCAUAAAGCUUUC